rnacentral:rRNA from 11 species
GAUAGGUGGGAGACUGUGAAGCGAUCACGCCAGUGUUCGUGGAGUCAACGUUGAAAUACCACCCUUGUGUUGCUUGGUGCCUAAUCUGGAAUACGGAAACAGUGUCUGCUGGGUAGUUUGACUGGGGUGGUCGCCUCCAAAAGAGUAUCGGAGGCUUUCAAAGGUCCGCUCAGUCCGCUUGGUAACCGGACGCAGAGCGCAAUAGCAGAAGCGGGCUUGACUGUGAGGCCGACUAGCCGAGCAGGGUCGAAAGACGGAUAUAGUGAUCCGGUGGUUCCGCAUGGAAGGGCCAUCGCUCAAAGGAUAAAAGGUACGCCGGGGAUAACAGGCUGAU